GGCUCUAUAGCUCAAGUCAGUAGAGCAUGAGACUCUAAAUCUAAAAGUUGUGGGCUCAAGCCCCACGUUGGGCAA